UGUCUAUUUCUCCUUCAGUUUUCCUUCUUGUGACGAUUUUCCUUCGAUUUAUUCUGUCUUCAUCAACCACCGUUAGACGAAAGUCUCAACAGAUUGAUCCAGCAAGAUCUUCACCGCUACACGGGAUGGAAAAUUUCUUCCACAAACGGAGUCUUUCCUCAUCCACGUAUCUCUUUUUCGUUGCUCUUCUUUACCGUUAAUAUUGCAUGCGUUCUUACCUCUUCUUUCUUCUGCGAUGACUUGGAGAAGUUACGCCAUUCUCC
rnacentral:misc_RNA from 1 species